CCUACGGGAGGCAGCAGUGGGGAAUAUUGCACAAUGGGCGCAAGCCUGAUGCAGCCAUGCCGCGUGUGUGAAGAAGGCCUUCGGGUUGUAAAGCACUUUCAGCGGGGAGGAAGGCGGUGAGGUUAAUAACCUCAUCGAUUGACGUUACCCGCAGAAGAAGCACCGGCUAACUCCGUGCCAGCAGCCGCGGUAAUACGGAGGGUGCAAGCGUUAAUCGGAAUUACUGGGCGUAAAGCGCACGCAGGCGGUCUGUCAAGUCGGAUGUGAAAUCCCCGGGCUCAACCUGGGAGCUGCAUUCGAAACUGGCAGGCUAGAGUCUUGUAGAGGGGGGUAGAAUUCCAGGUGUAGCGGUGAAAUGCGUAGAGAUCUGGAGGAAUACCGGUGGCGAAGGCGGCCCCCUGGACAAAGACUGACGCUCAGGUGCGAAAGCGUGGGGAGCAAACAGGAUUAGAUACCCUAGUAGUC
rnacentral:rRNA from 1 species